rnacentral:rRNA from 1 species
CCUACGGGAGGCAGCAGUGAGGAAUAUUGGUCAAUGGACGAGAGUCUGAACCAGCCAAGUAGCGUGAAGGAUGACUGCCCUAUGGGUUGUAAACUUCUUUUAUAAAGGAAUAAAACGAGGCACGUGUGCCUUUUUGCAUGUACUUUAUGAAUAAGGAUCGGCAAACUCCGUGCCAGCAGCCGCGGUAAUACGGGGGAUCCGAGCGUUAACCGGAUUUAUUGGGUUUAAAGGGAGCGUAGAUGGGUUGUUAAGUCAGUUGUGAAAGUUUGCGGCUCAACCGUAAAAUUGCAAUUGAUACUGGCAGUCGUGAGUACAGUUGAGGUAGGCGGAAUUCGUGGUGUAGCGGUGAAAUGCUUAGAUAUCACGAAGAACCCCGAUUGCGAAGGCAGCUUACUAAACUGUGACUGACAUUGAUGCUCGAAAGUGUGGGUAUCAAACAGGAUUAGAUACCCGGGUAGUC